GUGGGGAAUAUUGCACAAUGGGGGAAACCCUGAUGCAGCAACGCCGCGUGAGUGAUGACGGUCUUCGGAUUGUAAAGCUCUGUCUUUAGGGACGAUAAUGACGGUACCUAAGGAGGAAGCCACGGCUAACUACGUGCCAGCAGCCGCGGUAAUACGUAGGUGGCAAGCGUUGUCCGGAUUUACUGGGCGUAAAGGGAGCGUAGGUGGAUAUUUAAGUGGGAUGUGAAAUACCCGGGCUUAACCUGGGUGCUGCAUUCCAAACUGGAUAUCUAGAGUGCAGGAGAGGAAAGGAGAAUUCCUAGUGUAGCGGUGAAAUGCGUAGAGAUUAGGAAGAAUACCAGUGGCGAAGGCGCCUUUCUGGACUGUAACUGACACUGAGGCUCGAAAGCGUGGGGAGCAAACAGGAUUAGAAACCCUAGUAGUCC
rnacentral:rRNA from 1 species